AGCAGUGGGGAAUUUUGGACAAUGGGCGCAAGCCUGAUCCAGCAAUGCCGCGUGAGUGAAGAAGGCCUUCGGGUUGUAAAGCUCUUUUGUCAGGGAAGAAACGGUGAGGGCUAAUAUCCCUUGCCAAUGACGGUACCUGAAGAAUAAGCACCGGCUAACUACGUGCCAGCAGCCGCGGUAAUACGUAGGGUGCAAGCGUUAAUCGGAAUUACUGGGCGUAAAGCGUGCGCAGGCGGUUUUGUAAGUUUGUCGUGAAAGCCCCGGGCUCAACCUGGGAAUUGCGAUGAAGACUGCAAGGCUUGAAUCUGGCAGAGGGGGGUAGAAUUCCACGUGUAGCAGUGAAAUGCGUAGAGAUGUGGAGGAACACCGAUGGCGAAGGCAGCCCCCUGGGUCAAGAUUGACGCUCAUG
rnacentral:rRNA from 1 species